CCUACGGGUGGCAGCAGUGGGGAAUAUUGGACAAUGGGGGCAACCCUGAUCCAGCCAUGCCGCGUGUGUGAAGAAGGCCCUCGGGUUGUAAAGCACUUUCAGUGAGGAAGAACGCCUGGUGGUUAAUACCCAUCAGGAAAGACAUCACUCACAGAAGAAGCACCGGCUAACUCUGUGCCAGCAGCCGCGGUAAUACGGAGGGUGCGAGCGUUAAUCGGAAUUACUGGGCGUAAAGCGCGCGUAGGUGGCUUGAUAAGCCGGUUGUGAAAGCCCCGGGCUCAACCUGGGAACGGCAUCCGGAACUGUCAAGCUAGAGUGCAGGAGAGGAAGGUAGAAUUCCCGGUGUAGCGGUGAAAUGCGUAGAGAUCGGGAGGAAUACCAGUGGCGAAGGCGGCCUUCUGGACUGACACUGACACUGAGGUGCGAAAGCGUGGGUAGCAAACAGGAUUAGAUACCCCGGUAGUC
rnacentral:rRNA from 1 species